UGGGGAAUUUUGGACAAUGGGCGAAAGCCUGAUCCAGCAAUGCCGCGUGUGUGAAGAAGGCCUUCGGGUUGUAAAGCACUUUUGUCCGGAAAGAAAUCCUUGGCUCUAAUACAGUCGGGGGAUGACGGUACCGGAAGAAUAAGCACCGGCUAACUACGUGCCAGCAGCCGCGGUAAUACGUAGGGUGCAAGCGUUAAUCGGAAUUACUGGGCGUAAAGCGUGCGCAGGCGGUUUGCUAAGACCGAUGUGAAAUCCCCGGGCUCAACCUGGGAACUGCAUUGGUGACUGGCAGGCUAGAGUAUGGCAGAGGGGGGUAGAAUUCCACGUGUAGCAGUGAAAUGCGUAGAGAUGUGGAGGAAUACCGAUGGCGAAGGCAGCCCCCCUGGGCCAAUACUGACGCUCAUGCACGAAAGCGUGGGGAGCAAACAGGAUUAGAUACCCUGGUAGUCCACGCCCUAAACGAUGUCAACUAGUUGUUGGGGAUUCAUUUCCUUAGUAACGUAGCUAACGCGUGAAGUUGACCGCCUGGGGAGUACGGUCGCAAGAUUAAAACUCAAAGGAAUUGACGGGGUCAUAGCUG
rnacentral:rRNA from 1 species